AGUUACAAUAGAGUAUAUUAAAGUUGCUGCGGUUAAAAAGCUCGUAGUUGGAUUUCUGGUGAGGACGAUCGGUCCGCCCUCUGGGUGAGCAUUGACUCGGCCUUGGCAUCUUCUUGGAGAACGCUACUGCACUUGACUGUGUGGUGCGGCAUCCAGGACUUUUCCUUUGAGGAAAUUAGAGUGUUUCAAGCAGGCGCACGCCUUGUAUACAUUAGCAUGGAAUAAUAAGAUAGGACCUUGGUUCUAUUUUGUGGUUUCUAGAGCUGAUGUAAUGAUCAAUAGGGAUAGUUGGGGGGGAUUCGUAUUUAAAUGUCAGAGGUGAAAUUCUUGGAUUUGUUAAAGACGGACUACUGCGUAAGCAUUUGCCAAGGAUGUUUUCA
rnacentral:rRNA from 1 species